rnacentral:rRNA from 1 species
ACGCUCGACACCUACGGGAGGCAGCAGUGGGGAAUAUUGCACAAUGGGGGGAACCCUGAUGCAGCGACGCCGCGUGAGGGAAGAAGGUUUUCGGAUUGUAAACCUCUGUCCUUGGUGACGAUAAUGACGGUAGCCAAGGAGGAAGCCACGGCUAACUACGUGCCACAGCCGCGGUAAUCUGAGCGGGCUGGCAAGGC